ACACGAAUAUAUACAGUACCCUAUUUGUAAUUUAGAUCACUUUCAAAAUGAUCCUCACGAGCGGGCAAAUACGGGGCGGGCAAUAUCAUGAUCAUGACAGAUCAACAGACGUCAUAUCGACUUGUCACAACAUACCGAUGCGUGUUAAUAUGUUUAUUUUUUAGUUGAUAAUGUUGAAAACUUGCGAUCAUUCGACUCAUUUUACGACCACGGAUUUAGGCAGCAUUGCAUCGAUAUGUUAAGGUUGACGAUCGUCGCACAAAUUUGGGGAUGGAAGGUUGCUGCUAAAUGUCAUCUUUCUGAAGUAAAAGAGACAUGCAGCGAACCGUAUAAUGAUCCCAGAAAACCAUAUUAAAAAACCUUUGCAGCGAAAGAUAAAAUAGAGCUGGCCAAUGCUCGGUGGGCAAUCCCCCCGCGAACACACCGCAUAACGAAGCACCAUGGAAGAGCCACAACGGGUUUCCUCUUCCAUCGUCGGCGGUUGCCUGUGCCGCUACGGAUUUCCAGAUUAAUUGUUGAGGUUCAUUACUGAUACGGGUGACCUGAUUCAGAUGGGUUCGUCCAUUCUCCUCUGCUCCCAUGGAUACACCAUUGCACCAGGAAUGCCGUCCGAAUAACCAAUCCAACUAAAUCAAGCCUCUCCGCGAUCAAUAAAUGAAAUUGAAGAAUUAAAAAGAACUAACAGACAAAUUGAAUAAAUAAAGAAAAAGGUUUACGAAACAAGUAUAUCACAGUGUCUUCCAUAUUCCUAAAUCACAGAUCCAAUUUUCAGCCGUUUUUAAUAUUUCGAAUUUGAAAAAUAGUUUUAUAAUUUCUUUCUGACUUUAGCAUAUUUGAAUUUUUCUAAUAGAGGAUUUAA